rnacentral:rRNA from 1 species
UACGAAGGGGGCUAGCGUUGCUCGGAAUCACUGGGCGUAAAGCGCACGUAGGCGGCUUUCUAAGUCAGGGGUGAAAUCCUGGAGCUCAACUCCAGAACUGCCUUUGAUACUGGAGAGCUCGAGUCCGGAAGAGGUGAGUGGAACUGCGAGUGUAGAGGUGAAAUUCGUAGAUAUUCGCAAGAACACCAGUGGCGAAGGCGGCGAUCUGGACAGAUAUUGACGCUGAGGUGCGAAAGCGUGGGGAGCAAACAGG